rnacentral:lncRNA from 1 species
GGUCUCGAUCACCUGACCUUGUGAUCCGCCCGCCUCGGCCUCCCAAAGUGCUGGGAUUACAGACGUGAGCCAACUGUUCGAUUUUUCCUUUCCGUAUUCUGUUUUUUGGAAGCGAGUCACUAAAUCCAGCCCACACAUUGGGGGGAAAGAAAUUGAGCUCCACCUCCCGGAGUGGGAAGCCACUCCUCAGACCAGGAUUAGAAGAUUUUUCUUAGGGCUUCUAUUUUCACCCAGUGCAUGGUUCUAGAUUUCAGGUCACCUUUGAGUCAAGGACACGAUGGGGGAAUCCUGGAGGAAAAAUCAACAGGAAAUUCACCAACAGUUUGCUCUUACUUGAAGUUGUUUCCUUGGCAGAUUCACCCACUAUCAUUUGCUUUUCAGAGUCCUUAGAUAGCUGCUCUAUGAUUUAUUUGCAGGGUUUUCAGUUGCUUUUAGUAGGAGCAAGACAGAGUGAAGGGUGCAUAUACCAUCUUGAUUGGAACCAGAAACCCCUCAUUUAUUUUUUAUUCUCCAAUUAUGUCACGUACUCCCAUUCACUCAUUCACAUAUCCCUCAUUCUUUUAUGCAUUAUUAUAUACCUGCUUAUAAAAUCAUACAUAUGUCAAUGAAUACCCCUGAUUUGACCACAUAAUCAGGUGUUAUGCUAGUCACUACAGAUACAGACAUGAAAUAUUGUUACUAUCUCAAAAAAUUCUUGGGCUACAAAGAAAACAGAUGAAUUAUUAGAUGUAAAUACAGUGGAAUGACUGCUAUGAUAUAUGGAAGCCCCAACUGCCUUAAAUGAGGGGAUCUGUAAGGAAACAGCCGCCUGGCUUCAGGAAGUUGUCUCCUUUGGGGACAAGUCAACGUGGGGUAGGCAAGCAUUUCACUUUGAGAGGACAGCAUGCACUGAGGCACUGGAUUAGGAAAUCAAGGGGGCACGUUUGAAGAAGUGGUGUCUUACCUCCAACCUAGGCCUCCCUGAGAUUUCAGGACAGGGGUAUGACUGAACACAAUCCUAGAGUGGAGCACGAGGACUCCUCCAAGGUCAUCCCUGAGUUUAGAAAAUUUACAUUUGGUGGUUGGUCUCUCCUAUCCUAUUCUCACCCAUCCUGGGAAGUUCCAUCUGCUUGGUUUUCUAUUAUUUGCAGUAGUGUAGGCUUUGUUUCAAGGACCCUGGCCAGUUUGUCAGAGGACAUGCACAUCAUCUAUGAAGGGCAGAAAAAGCAGCAGAGCCUGACUUUGCAGCUGCGUCUGAAAAAGGGUCAGAGUAACCUGGCUCCCACCCCGUGUUCAAGUCCAAGAGGACCCAAGUCCUGAGAUUGACCAGUUAUCCUCAAGAGCAUUCCAUCUGUCUCUUUUCUCCUCGAUUCCAACCCCUGGGGGCUAAGAUUCAUUCCCGCGAUACGUGCAGGUCCUACAGCCUCUCUGGCCCUUCCCCUGUGCUUGGCCAAUUCAUUCAGCCAUUUAUUCAUUCAUGCACGCGUGGAUGUAUCCAAGUGUAUUCCACUCAUAUUCUAUGCCAGACCUUGGUUUCACCAUCCCUUUCCUAUGAAAAUUUUGUUUUGCCUUCUACGCUAUUUCCAUUUUUUCUACCUCAAUGAUUAUUUCUUCCACUUUCUUUUGUUGGAUUCUAUUUCUUUCUCUACUCUAUAAACGUGGAUGGACCACCUUUGAACUGUUCUCAUAAUCCGCCCUACUCCCACAUUCUUUAGCCCUGCUGUACUCACAGCCAAGGCAGCUGUGCAGUCCAGUGGUGAGACAGGGAAGGGAUGCAAGCGUUUUACUCAGUCACUUAGUCUGCCUGCCAGAGCCUCAAUUCCAGUAGCUGGGAUUUUCCCCUUAUUUCUGAGACAUUAAUGGGAUCCCUAGUUAUAGUCAUCUCUUGUGCUUGUGUCCCCUGUCCCUAAAUUUCUCCCUUGAAAAUGUGUUGGGCUCUUGCUGCUCCUAGCCUUUUGUUUCCUCCUAUAAUUGGAGCUCCUUCACCUGCAAACUCAACACCAGGGCCAGCCCCCCAUCUUGGAACACAGAAUCAGUUCCCUGUGGAUCUGGUCCAGUCUUCACUGCAUGCUUCAGUAUAAAGAGAAAAGCACAAACUGGGGUCAGAUUCAUCUGUGCUCCAAUUCAAAAUUGUGUGAGGCAAGUUGUGCAACUCUUUGAUCUCAGUUUUCUUAUUGUAAAAUUGACCACAGGCAAAAUUUCUGUUAUCUACUUUCUGUUAUCUACCUAUCUUAUCUAUCUAUCUACCUAACAAAACCCUAUGUUUAUAUAGAUAUCAAGUAAUCACAAACUUCUGGGGAGGAGGUUGAAGCCCCCAGUGGGUUAAUCUUGAUCUAAGCCAAUCAAAGUAAUUCCUUUAUUUUGCCAACAACUGCUUUAAGUAUGUGCAUGUGUUGAAAUUCUGGCCAAUGAGGCAUGAGGGGUAUGUUUGCUGGGAGACACAGGGAAAGCAUUUCUGCAAAAGAAAAAGGAGCCUCAGGGAAAGAAACACAUACUUUUCUGCCCCAGAAUGUUGUUAUCUUAUGUGAUGCCUGGGCUGUGUUAGCCAUUGCAUGAGGCUGCAUGUGGCAGACCAAAAGGACAUGCCAUUCCCCCGGGGGAAUGGCAAGGUAGAUUAAUGAGAAAACCUGGUUCUGGAUAACACUGUUAAGCCGCUUAAUCAACCCUGAAACUCUGCCUCCUCCAGUCUUCUUAUUGCAUAAGACUUUUUUUUUUUUUUUGUUUAAGUCAUUUUUAGUUGAGUUAAUGCUACUCACAGGCAAAACUAUUCUGAUAUACGGCAUUAGAAUACCUAUCUUACCAUGUUCAAAUAAGAGACUCUCUGCUCAUCUUUUAGAUCUCAGUCCAAAUGUCACCUCCUCAAGAAAGUCUUCCCUGAUUGUUCAUCCGAGCUCACAUUGUUCUGUCAUACAUUUGCCAUUAGCACUGUGUAUCGUUCCUUCUUUUCUUUCAUAGCACUGACGAGCGUUUGUUUAUCUGGUUAUUCACCCUCUCCCUCACUAAUCUAUAAGCUCUGGGAAGGCUGGCAGUGUUUCUUUUGCUGACCACUGUGUCUCUUGUAGCUAGAAUGGUGCCCAACAUGUAAUUGGUUCUUAAAUAUUUGUUAAAGAAUAAAAAUUAAUACAUGAAUAUCAAUAGGAAAAAAAACUGGUACAUAGCAGGAAAGUUUAUCUUUGUGUCCUUUCUGAGACUGAAAGUUGAUCAACUCUCUCCUUUUUUUCAUGUUGACAGAUGACUUUGUACCCAGUCAUUGGCUGAUGUGUUUCAAAACAACUUUAAAUGUACUUUGAAAUGCGCCAUUAUUUCAUCCCCUCAGGAGCCGGUGCAAUUCCCGCCACCCCUUGCUACUAUUCUUUCAGCAUUCAUGACAGUCAAGCAAACCCUUUCUUUGAUUUUUCUUCCUCUACAGGCUCUAGGUGACUGAUUAGUCAUUACUUGUGAAUAAUGGCCAGGGAGGUUGCUGAGCCAUGGAGGAAUCUGGCCACCUGGCCACUGAGCACUCAGCUCUCAGCUAGUAAGAUAAAAGCAAUUUUGCCACCAACACCAUCCUAAUAGGAUGUCCAAAGAGUUUCCUUCCACUGUUCAGUAGGGACCAUGAGGAUCAUGAAUGGAAGGUGAUAUGAGGGUUUGGGGAGGAAUAAACUGGAACAGCUUGUCAUCCCUCAGGAGUAUUUCGGAAACAAGCCAGCACACCAUGGUAAUUUAUUUUUGUGACACAUUAGUUUGCCUUGGAGGGAGAAAGUAUGAGAGUUUGGAGAGUUAGAGUUUACAGGGAGAGGGGCAGAGCUUAUCCUUAGUUCUCUCUUAUCCACUGACAUGGAACAACAAGGAUGGAUGGCAUUAGUAACAAUAAUAAAAAUUACAGGCUCAAAGGAAAUGGAGUUGACAGCAGAGAGUACACAUGGUUAGUUAUCUAGUCCAGCAUUUCUCAGAAGAUAUUUGGCAGAGCACAAGUCUCUCAAAUGCCCUUUGCUAAAAGGUUCAUGGUUAAAUUACUGUUCUUGGAGAACAGCAUGCACUUACUUGUCCACCACCCCACCCCCAGCCCUUUUGACUGUACUUUGCUCAGUAAAUAGGAAGGUCCCUGCAUUAUAAAUAAAUCAACUGGCUUUGUCUAACCCAGUGUUCUGGUGUUCAUUUCACCAAGGAAACCCUUAUUUUAAAAAAUGAAUAUUAACAGCUUCUGGAAGGAAGAUAUUUUAGGAAAUGCUGAUGUGAGCAAGGGUGGUUACUAGGUACUCUUAUCUAAUAUUUACUGAGAAAUUUAUUUAUUCAUUCAUUUAUUAGAGAAAGAUAUAUUGAGAGACUCCUUUGUGUAACGUAAUGGGCUGGGAGCAACGAACACAGAUUUGGCCAAUGCCUGCCUGAAGCUUAUAAUCUAGUGCACAAGACGAAAUCAAUUUCCCAAUUAAUUUCUUUUUUAUUACUGUGGUGAGUCUACAAUGAGGAGCGUAAGAUAUAUGUAAAUUUAAAUAAUGGUAUAAAAUAGAUGGUUAGGGGUAACCAGGGAAGCCAUGCUGGUUGUCCGGGACCGGGGAUGUCCUGUGAUGGGUGACUUUCAGUUCUAAAACAAAGACAGUCCUGGGCAAAUCAGAAUGGUUGCUUACCCUAAUAGACCAUGACUCCUGGAGUGCCAUCUGAAAAUCUUAUUAUGGCAGAGAGAACUCUGCCAGGCCGGAGACCUGUUCUCUGGGGUUGCUUCAGCUCCCUGAGCCUGACUUUCUGUCUCUGGGGAGUGGAGGUGAUGAAGUCUCCUUUCUCUUAUGUUUUUUGGGAAUAACAAGUGGAGUGAUUCCUAUAGAAAGCCUUUACCAGAUAUCACACGCUUCCUAAGCACAAGGGAUGAGUAUUCCUUUAGGGAAACUGUAGUUUGUCACUCCUUGAAGGAAAGCCCCUAUUUCUCCAGAAGAGGGUUUUCAGAGCACAUCUCUCGCCACACAUCCAGGUUUCUAAAUCCUCCAGCAAGAAGCGUUUUUCACAGAUCCAAGAACAGAAGCACCUGCGUAAGUUCACAUGGGAGGUGUAAAUCAUGGAGGGGAGCCAUUGAGAUGCUUCAAGACAGCACUUCCUCCAGGCCAGAGAAGGCCUCAGCCCAAGAAGCAGCUUCCUGCUGCUAGGCAGGGUGGGGACAGAGGGCAGUGCCUGGCCUCUGCAGAACCAAAGAGCAGGCUUGCAGUGGGCUUGUGUACUCAGGCGAGUCUCAUGAUCUUCUGGGGUUUUAAUGUCUUCCUCCGUAAGGUGGGAAUAUUGAUUUUUAUUUCAUCCAAUUAUUGGGAACUUUAUACUACUGCUACUAAUAUAGUCAGAAUUUAAUGAAUUUACCAUGCACUAGAAAUUGUGCCAUGUGUUUACAUAUACAUUUAAUCACCACAAAAAGUAGAUUUGGUUAUCUUCCAUCUGACAAAUGUAAAAAAUGGGGCUUAGAGAGGUUAGGAGGCUUGCCAAGGUAGGGUGACCAAUUGUCAUUGUUUGCCCAGGACCAAAAGUCCCACAUCGUGGGCAAUCCCUUAGCCCCAGGGAACCUGGGAUGGUUGGUCAAGCUAGAAAAUCAUACAAUUAGCAAGUAGUGGAGCUGAUAUAUAUUUGAGGUAGAAGAUUAUUUGUUAAAAUUGCUAAAAACACAACCAGCAACAAUUAUUAUUGCCAUUUUAUAUAGUAUGUAUAUAUCAUAUGCUUAUAUAUAAUGUAUACAUAAGAUACAUCAUAUUAUUAAUAUAGUAACACUCAUUAUUUGAUGAACUGCAAUUUCAGUAUAAACAAAGGGCUUCUAGCCUUCUAAGAAAGCCCCUUUCCAUUAAUAAUGCUCAUCUAACAUUAGUGCUACUCAUCAGUAUUUAUAGUUUUCUUCUUUCUGUGCCCAGAACCUUUGAUCUCAGGCAUGACCAGGUGAUUUGUUUUGACCAAUGAAAUGUGAGUGCAAGAGAUGUGCAUCACUUCGGGGCAGAAACAUGCAAGAAUCAGGGUGCAAUUUUUCAUCUUCCUUGCAGUAAAUGCUGAUGGUGCCUCUCCCAUAUCAUUUUUGCUGGCUGGGACACACUCCUCAGCUGCUGUGAGGGUUGGGGUGCUAACAGAUCAUAACUGUCUCUGCUCAGCAGGGUUAAGAGCACCAAAUCCGGAGUCAGGCCACCUAGUUCAAGUCCAGCUCUGACAUGAAAGGCUGUGUGCCCCUAGGCAAGUUGCUUAACAUCUCUGAGCCUUAGUUUUCUUAUCUCUAUAAGGGAGAAUUCCUACCUUAUACCGUUGAUGUGAGGAUUAUAUGAGUAAUGCUUUUAAGACUCUUGUAACAGUUUGGCACAUAGUAAGCCCUAAGGUUGGCUGUUUUUAUUUCUCCUGCUUUACUUGUUCUCUAGCAUAGUAUGACAGUGCAUACCAAGGUUCCUCAUAUGUUGCUCAAAAGACAAUUUUGAUUAACAUGUGGAGAGCCGAAUUCCAGAGAUGCUGAGCAAUUUCUUCAGCAUCACAUGGGGCUUAAUACUGGAGUUUGAAUAAGAACCAAGACAGGAGAAUGAGAGUAAUAACAACAAGUCAGCAAUUACUAUUCACUAGGUACUGCAUUAUCUCAUUUAAUCUUCACAAAAGCAUCUGAGUGGGACAUUAUUAUAACCUUCAUUUUACAGAUGUGGAAAUAGAAGCAAAAAAGGUGAAGUAAAUUUUUACUGUUAGUAGGUAGUGGCAGAGUUAGAAAAAAUAGAAAUUUGAUAUUUUAGGAUGAACUAUUAUUUAGCAACAAAAAUGGGAACUGUAAUUACUAUGUUUAAACAAUGUGUUGAGUAUUAGUUUCUGUUUAGAAGAGUAAACAUGAUUGCUUAUUUAUUUAUACAAGUAUUACAUACAACAUACACUAUUUUAUACUUUGCUCUUUAUAAAGUGACCUUUUAAUUUUAAGAAUAUCUAGAUUUGCAGAAAGAUUGCAAAAAUAGUACAGAGAGUUCUCACCUACCCUUUGCCUGACUUUCCGCAAGGUUAAUAUCUUACAUUACAAUGGUGCACUUGUCAAAACCAUGGAAUUAACAUUGGUACAUUACUAUUAACUAAAAUCCAGACUUUAUUUGGAUUUUGCCAGUUUUUCCACUAAUGCUCUUUGUCUAUUCCAGGGUCUAGUCCAAAGACUACCAAAUCUUAAGUGAACAAAAAGCCUUGGCGAUGAUGUAAAAGUUUGUUUGCUAAUGGAAUAAAGAUUUGAUAUUAGGGCAGUGUAAUUAUAGGUGAUAUUUUUUCCUAUGUUUAAAGCUUUAACACUUUUGUUACAUUAACUAUUUAGGAGAUGUUAUUAUUGGAAGCCUCCUGUACUGUGAGAGGCUGGCAUUGUCCAACUCAAACCAAGUUGUGGACUGGAAGAAGCACAAAUUAUCUGCUGGACCCAUGGGAGAUGAACAAUGAAACCAAGAAGAAGGUACUGAGGAGUACAGAGAAGCAGUAUUCAGCCCAGCCCUGGGGGUGGUGACCAGUGGAAGUCAUGAAAGGCUUCCUGGAGGAGGUGAUACUUGAACCAGACACUGGCACUGGACACCUGAGGAGCAUGUGAAUGUCCAGACACUGCUGGCUCUCUGUACACGUGUGGUGUCUCCAGGGCCCCGGGCAAGCCUCUGAAGGUCACAGGAGUAAGUGAGCUGCUAGCAGCAAACAUAAGCAGGAGGGAUCCCAGAACGUGAGGGCAGGGGCGGAGUCGAGGAAACAAAUAGUGCCCAGCAUGCUGGCCUUCUUUUAGUUCACUGAAUGCUCCCAGCUGUCUGCUUCCUACCUGAGGCCCUUCGUACCUGCUGCACAACUGCCCGGAACCCUCUCUAGCCCAUUUCAUAUGGCUAACUUCUCUCAUCCUUUCCAUCACAGCUAAAUGCCAUUUCCCCAGAGAAGCAGUCUGACCCUCAAGACUUGAUUAGGCCCAUCUAUUAUUUGUUCUCAAUGCAACCUACAUUUUCCUGCCUGCGACUUCAUAGCAAAUUGUAAGUAAUUAUGUAUGUAAUUAGUCCCCAUGUAUUAGGCAGAAUUCUGUCAUAUGCAAAUGACAGAAAACUCAAACUAGCUGGAACGAAAAGAGUGGAAUGUCUUGGGUAGCUGGAAAGGGUGUGAGUGCGACUCAGAAUGGAAGGACAGACGGAUUGCAGCCACCGGGGCCUCAGGGAGAGGACAGGGUCUCCACACAGUCAGAUUCUUUCUCUCUCCUCAUCUCUGAGGUUUGCUUGACCUCCUCUGCUAAUACUGCACAUAUGGAGGGAACAUGGUCACUGGCAUCUCCAGGUCCACACCUCACAGCUGCUGGAAAGGUGUGAUCCCCCUGCAUGAGUCAAAUACCCACCCACAGAACUGUCUCCACCUAGGACGUGGAGAUGGGCUACUGUGAAUGGCUGGGCCGUGGUCAUGUGCUCACCCUGCUCAGCACUGCCACUGAGAGGGCCCUCAGUGUCACAUGACCUGGAAGGGCAGUGCUACUCCUCAAAGGAUGUGUUAGGGUGCGGCAGGCCCACAACAUUUGUAUCUUUUUUAAUGCUAUAUCCCCCACAAAUACUUACAGAUAUUUUCUACUAGGUGUCAGCCACUGUUCUAGGUAGUAGAGGAUAUGAAAGUAAAAUCUAAGUUCUUGCUUGCAUUAGAGCUUAUACUGGAAUGGGGGAAGACAGAAAGCAAGCAUGUUAAUAAUCACAAAUGUCUCAGGUGGUGAUAUGUGCUCUGGAGAAGAACAAAACCGGGUACAGAGGGUGGGGGAUGGUGAAGGGACACUAUAUUCCGCAGCAUGGUUAGAGAUGGCAUGUUGAAAGUGGCACAGGCAGUACCAGAUGGUGAGGCUCUUCCGUGUUGUUCUGAUGGAUUGGAACUGAGUCCUCCUGCCCGGCUUUCUCCCUCCUUUUCUUCUCUCCCUUCCUCUGUUCAUUCUUUUGCAGUUUUUCUUAAAAUGUAGUCUUUAGAUUGUAUGUAUCAGAAUACCCACUGGGGGCAGGAUACUUGUCAAAAAUGCAGGUUCCCAGGCCUCUCCCAAGACCCAGAGAUUCAGACUCUCCGAGGUGAGGCCUGAGAAUCUGAAUCAUUAACCAGCUCUCCAGGCGGCUCUUAGGCACAUUCACAUUUGACAACUAUUCUCUGAGGUGGUAAUGAGAUAAGAGAGGCUCUGAAUAGGGAAGAAAACUGAUCUCACUUGUGUUUUAGAAAGAUAGGUCUGAAAUCUACACAGAGGGUGGCUGCAGGCCCAGAGACUGGGCUGUUGUCGAGGUCCCAGAGACCAAGAGAAAACAUGUGGCCAGAGGUGCUGGGACAGAGAGAAUGUUUAGGUGACAAAUGGAAAGGAACUGGUGACUGCUUGAGUGUGGGGAUGAAGGAGAAGAAGUGGUUCAAAGGCUUCCUCUGGUCUGACUAGGGUAUGUGGGGGUAGCAAUACCAUUCACCCAAAUGGGAAGUGCAAACAUCGCUGACACUGCACUUCUUUAUUUAAAUACUCUACAACCAAGAAGUAAUUUUAGAGUCCCAUAUUAGAGGAGUAGCUUUUGACUACAUUGAGCAGUUGGAUACAAACGUUCUUAAUUGUUUAUUUUCUUUCUUAUCUUCCUAGUAUUUCUACUUUUUUGAGCUUCUGAACCUUUACCCAAAAGGAGUUGGUGUUAACGACUUGUUUUUGUAAUCUCUGAUAUUAGUGUGAUUCAUUUGCCAAGGGGAGACCAUUAAGAAGGAGCCAACUUCAUCUCCAUGGCAUGGAGUGAGAGGUGGGGAAUGAUACUGAAGAGCUAAGAGAUUCAAUGCACUAAGAAUAUGGUGACCAGAACUUCUGGUUGUUCCAACUGGGAAUCUUGGGUGAAGUUGGCUGCUCUGUUGGAGAAAGCUCCCCAUUCCCACAUACCUGUAUAGAAUCCUGUAGGAUAGGGGAUAUUUCCUUAUCUCUCUUCACUCUCCUCCAAAGCUCCAAUGGAUGUAUUCUAGGUACAACUAGCUAAUAAUUGAGUGUAAGAAUUAUAUUAGAUAAUGCUUAAAAAAUUCUUGGCACUCCAUGCCACUCCACUUCAUUUCCUCAAUGAAGGAGGCUGGGCAGAUAUUACUAGCCUCCUUCUACACAUUCAGAGAAAUGAAGUGACUUGCCUGCGAUCACAGAGCCAAGAUAAAGAUCUGGCUUCAAAUCUUGGCCAGUUGUAUUUUAAAGUUUCUGUGUUUUUCACCACAGAGUAGGUGAGGCUGGGCAAACUGUGAGGACCUCAGUUAAACAGGCUGGUGCUGGGGAUGGCUUCUAUGCCAGGAGGAAAGAUCAUGACUAGUCUGAGAAGCUGAAGCAGCAGCCAUCUGAUCCUCUACUCCAUGGUGGCCCUUUCCAGACUACAGACUGUGGUUUCUCUGCUCAUCAGCAAUCAAAUCUAAAUUAUCUCCGAUAUUUGUUCAAUAACUCAGACGUGCUAAGGUUAGCUGUCUUAUAAAUUAUGGAACAGUUUAACUGAGUUAAGCCUGAGGCAUAAAUAACAGAGACUCUCCACCCAGUGACAGGGCACAAGGCUGGAGGCAGCAAAAACACAGUAAUAGUGACAGAAAAAAGGACUAUCUUCCUCUUUUAGGAGAAGCCUGACAGGGAGGAGGAAAGUAGAUGAGAAGGGGGCUAGGCAGGAGGGAAUUCCAGGACGAGGGGAUGACAGAGCAAAGGAAACAGGCCCUGGGGAAGAGGAGGAGCUUUGUGGAGGCAGAAGCUCAGUUUACUGGUGAACAUGAAAUCAUCCUUGGGGGUGUCUGUGGGACGUCCAGUGGAGGUGUCUGAUGAGUGCCUGAACACAUGGGUUACCGCUUCUCUGUUAAAAUGUGGGAAACAGCUAUAAUGCAUAAGAUAUGAGUGGUAGCUACGACCAUGGGGGAAAAACAAGGUCAUGGAAAGCAUAUAGA